rnacentral:misc_RNA from 1 species
UGUCAGUGGAUUGGAAGGACAAAAUUUUUCUUGAAGACGAUUUUCAGCUCAAGACUGCAGAGUAUGGACGUGAAAAGUUUUCUUCACAUUUCAAAGUUACUCGUAACUUCGCUAGAUGUGUGGCUCCUGAAUAUACUAUUACUAGUAAGUUCACCAAGAAUACCACUGUUUAUUCCUAUGGUGUAAUGCUUUUGGAGAUGAUAACUGGGAAAGAAGAUUUUGAUGAUAUAGUUCAAUGGGGUGUACCUCAACUUAAACGAGCUUUGUCCAAUGGAAACUAUGAUUUUGUUGACAAGAGGUUAAAGGCAUAUAACAAAAAUGAAAUGAAUCGAAUGAUUGCUUGUGCCUUAGCCUGUUUACGUGAUAAUCCACAAGAUCGACCAGAAAUGAGACAGAUAGUUGAAGUUCUGAAGGGAAAUAUUGAUAUGCAAGUUCUCUAAAUGGGGGAACAACAGCUAACGAAGCAAGUCGAGCCAACCUUCGAGAUAGAAUCUCUGCCCAAGCCCAAGAUUAUGACAAGUUGAGCUUGGCUUCAAAAGGAAGUUGUGCAGAAUGGAAAUCUGCACAGUUGUCUUGGAUUUAUUGGUAUAUCUGUAUGGAGAUAAAUUGUACUCGAGGCAUAUACCAGUGCGUUGGUAGGACGACUUUCUUCUUGAUCAUGAUUUUCAACCAAAGGCGGUGCCUCAAUUUAAAUGAUAUUGGUCCAAUGGUAACUACGAUUUUGUUGACAAGAGAUUGAAGGAGUAUAAUUAACAAAUGGAUUGAGUGAUUGCUUGUGCCUUAGCCUAAUUACGUGAUAAUCCACAAGAUCGUCCAGAAAUGAUUCAGAUAGUUGAAGCUCUAAAAGGAAAUAUUGAUCGGCAAGAUCUCUACAAAAGGGAACAACAGCUUAGUCGAGGACCGGGGACCAAGCAAAAGCCUUUAAGCAAGUUGAGCCAAUCCUGGAGAUAGAAUCCCCGCCCAAGCCCAAGAUUUAGGCAACUUGAGCGAGGCCUCAAAAGGAAGUUUAGCAUAGUCUAGAGCCAGCAUCCCGCCCGAGGGGGCAAGCCCGAGAUUUUGGCCGGUUGAGCCUAAACUCAAGCAAGAGUUGAGCUUAGGGACCCCAAGCCUACGAAAAUUGAAGGCUUAGUGCUCUUUGGAUGAGUGAUUCAGUUACAGCCUUUAACAUUUGAACUCGGUCGUUUAUCUUUUACAAAUAUUGUAUAUAGGUUUCAUCAGACAUAACAAUAAUAUAUAUUAUAUAAAUGGUCGUCCAAGUAUAAACAGUUCCAAUCCAAAAAGUCUUAUUAACUUUAAAUUUAU